ACUCGGGCUGCAGUCGUCGUAAAUGCCAGGAUGGUGCGUGGGUGGGCUCGUCUCCUACCUCAAUCUGCUGCACCUGUGCGAGUACCGUCAGUCGCCGCGUUGUGCAGAGCCGGCGAGGGGAGGCGAAGCUUUGCCGUUGUUCGUCAAAAUGGAGUUUUUGAUGGAGCCGAUUCGAAGAUCUGCAGAGUCAAGGUGCUGGAGGAAGUGAACGACAGUGAAAUUAUGAUGGAGCUGCUGCAUUAUCCACUCACCGCCACUGUGGGCGUUUAGCAGCCGCCGCCGCCGACGCCCUGAUUAACUGUGGAUGGUCAGAUUUGUGCGGUGGGGGCGGUGAUGAGUCCUGGAAGGCAAGAAUCACCACAAGCAUCCGACCAAUCGAUAGAAGAGAUGAACCCGGCUGCUCCUGGGUGGAUGUGAAGAUUGUCCACUUUGGCUACAUAAUUUGGACAUAUGUAGACUUCUACAACUUUUACUCGUGGGAGAAGGGAUUUUGUAUUAGAUAUGGCAGAAGCAGGCUGAAUGUCGAGAGGACGAAGUGCAUGCAGGGAAUUGUUCGCGGCUGUGCGCGUGCAGCAGAGGCCUGGAUUGAGAAUACUCGGUCCUGCCAUUGUGAGUGCCCUGCUCUUGGUUGGACGUGAAGGGUGAGGAUAGGUGCUGCCGCACCAGGAAGGGCGCCGUGCCCCAAUCGAAUCAGUGCGCUAGAGAAGUCAAUUCGAGGUUUCACGGAGAAUCCAGGGGACAAUGUCAUAGUGCCAACGUUGGAGACAAGUUUUGAUACUUUGGGAGAAGCCUACCACUUUUACAACCUGUGCUCUUGGGAGAAGGGAUUCCACAUUAGGUACAGAAAUAGUCUGACUAAAUGUUGAGACGACGAAGUGCAUGCAAGAAAUUGUUUGUGGGUACGCGGUGAGUACAUCUUAAUAUGUAUGCUGUGGUUGCACAAAUGAAAAGGAAAAGGAAAUGUAAAUAAUGUAUGCAAGAGAACAAGGUUCUGUAUGAUUUGUCGGCAGCAGGGUCAGAAGAGGACAACAUGCCCAGAUGGCGGCGAUGUUCCAAAACCGGUUAGGAAGCCAGUUCGAUGCAAAAGCUGUGGUGUAGAAGGGCAUUGGCAAAACAGCUGCCAGAGUUGGCGAGCUACGCCUAUGCAACACGUGAGCAUGGUCCUGUCACUGAGAUUGCUGAAAUUUCAGCAGUCUUGCGUGAUAUGUGAGGUAGUUGGGAAAGAACACUGUCGUCGAACAAGUGUUACUUGAGUGUUAAGAUGUUGUAAUUGUGAACUUAAGUUGCAAACUAUCGAUGUGA